CCUACGGGAGGCAGCAGUGGGGAAUUUUGGACAAUGGGCGCAAGCCUGAUCCAGCAAUGCCGCGUGCAGGAUGAAGGCCUUCGGGUUGUAAACUGCUUUGAGAGAAUUUCCGGUACCGUAAGAAUAAGCACCGGCUAACUACGUGCCAGCAGCCGCGGUAAUACGUAGGGUGCAAGCGUUAAUCGGAAUUACUGGGCGUAAAGCGUGCGCAGGCGGUAAUGUAAGACAGAUGUGAAAUCCCCGGGCUCAACCUGGGAACUGCAUUUGUGACUGCAUUGCUGGAGUGCGGCAGAGGGGGAUGGAAUUCCGCGUGUAGCAGUGAAAUGCGUAGAUAUGCGGAGGAACACCGAUGGCGAAGGCAAUCCCCUGGGCCUGACUGACGCUCAUGCACGAAAGCGUGGGGAGCAAACAGGAUUAGAUACCCUUGUAGUC
rnacentral:rRNA from 1 species